GCCAUUUGGUGGUGGGUGGGCAGCUCGCGGGUGGCACGGGCGUCGUUAUGUGGUGGGGGUGACCAUUGGAAUCCUGCCCAGAUGGUGAUGUCAUUCUGGAAGGUCAUGUCAUCUACCAACUGGAAUAUAGCGCUGACGGGGACUAUCUAGCCAUCUUGUCAACUCGCCAGAACUCGAGGACGACCAACAACGCCAGGCUAACACCUGAAAUCGCGGACGCUUUUGAAGGCGAAGAUAUAGCUGAGGAAAAGAGAGAAGAAUUGGUGUUGUCGUUAUGGAGGUGGUCGUCCACGUCGCCCUUAGUAUCGCCAGAGUCGCCACCAUUAACGUCAGCACGGGUAUCAGUGCACCCUCGGCUCCAGCAGGUGGUGAUGACGACACUGCGUCAGUUGAAGGCUACGCAAGUCACACGUAUGUCGAUGGCCCGAGGUUUGCCCAGUGGCAUGGUGGUCGUCAUGUUGGCAGUGGAGGAGGAGGUACAAAUAUGGCGGGUUGAGUCUGGUCCACUGGGACGAAGGUUCGUGUGUCACACCUUCGGUUUUGGUCUUCUGUCACCUGAAACUGUCCACACCA